rnacentral:rRNA from 1 species
AGGGUUUGAUUAUGGCUCAGGAUGAACGCUAGCUACAGGCUUAACACAUGCAAGUCGAGGGGCAGCAUGAACUUAGCUUGCUAAGUUUGAUGGCGACCGGCGCACGGGUGAGUAACGCGUAUCCAACCUACCCUUGUCCAUCGGAUAACCCGUCGAAAGGCGGCCUAACACGAUAUGCGGUUCACAGCAGGCAUCUAACGUGAACGAAAUGUGAAGGAGAAGGAUGGGGAUGCGUCUGAUUAGCUUGUUGGCGGGGUAACGGCCCACCAAGGCAACGAUCAGUAGGGGUUCUGAGAGGAAGGUCCCCCACAUUGGAACUGAGACACGGUCCAA